GAUUGCCUAGUAACGGCGAGUGAAGCGGCAACAGCUCAAAUUUGAAAGCUGGCUCUCGGGCCCGCAUUGUAAUUUGCAGAGGAUGCUUCUGGCGACGCGCCUUCCGAGUUCCCUGGAACGGGACGCCAUAGAGGGUGAGAGCCCCGUCCGGUCGUGCGCCUAGCCUCUGUGAAGCUCCUUCGACGAGUCGAGUAGUUUGGGAAUGCUGCUCAAAAUGGGAGGUAUACGUCUUCUAAAGCUAAAUACCGGCCAGAGACCGAUAGCGCACAAGUAGAGUGAUCGAAAGAUGAAAAGCACUUUGAAAAGAGAGUUAAAAAGUACGUGAAAUUGUUGAAAGGGAAGCGCUCAUGACCAGACUUGGGCUGGCUCGAUCAUCCGGCGUUCUCGCCGGUGCACUCGGGCCGCUCAGGCCAGCAUCAGCUUCCGCCGGGGGAUAAAGGCGGUGGGAAUGUGGCUCCCUCGGGAGUGUUAUAGCCCGCCGUGCAAUACCCUGGUGGGGGCUGAGGUUCGCGCGUAUGCACGGAUGCUGGCGUAA
rnacentral:rRNA from 1 species